rnacentral:rRNA from 1 species
AGCGAACGCUGGCGGCAGGCCUAACACAUGCAAGUCGAACGAACCUUUCGGGGUUAGUGGCGGACGGGUGAGUAACACGUGGGAACGUGCCUUUAGGUUCGGAAUAACUCAGGGAAACUUGUGCUAAUACCGAAUGUGCCCUUCGGGGGAAAGAUUUAUCGCCUUUAGAGCGGCCCGCGUCUGAUUAGCUAGUUGGUUGAGGUAAUGGCUCACCAAGGCGACGAUCAGUAGCUGGUCUGAGAGGAUGAUCAGCCACAUUGGGACUGAGACACGGCCCAAACUCCUACGGGAGGCAGCAGUGGGGAAUCUUGCGCAAUGGGCGAAAGCCUGACGCAGCCAUGCCGCGUGAAUGAUGAAGGUCUUAGGAUUGUAAAAUUCUUUCACCGGGGACGAUAAUGACGGUACCCGGAGAAGAAGCACCGGCUAACUUCGUG